GGUCUGCGGAGCGGACCGGAGCAGCUCCGGGAGUUCCGCUUGCGCCGCGUGCUCAGGGAACGACUCUUUCAGUAGGCCUCGGUUAUGCAGUGAUAAAAGCAGCCCGCUUCUGCUAGAGGGAUAACUAUGGAAUGAAGUUUUUAGGAGGAUGUUUGUAGUUCCAAGCCGCUUCCUGGCUCCGACAGCUGGAAAACUUCUGUUCCCUGCUGGUGGAGACUGGUCUGACUGAGGACAAGCUGAGUCUAACAACAGAACAGAGGAACAGACUCAUCGAAGCAUGGAGUGCUGUAGAGGAACACGAUAAACAACCACACAAGUUUCACCAGCUCUACAAAACACACUGGGGUAAUGCGCUUUACUGUUGCGAUCUUGCACUGGCCCAGCGAGAGAACAGGCUGAUGUACACACUAGUGAAACUUCUCUGGUUGGGGUCACCGCACAGUACUCCAGCAAACCCUGUAAAAACCACCAUCACAAAAGCAUAUGAGAGCCUUCAGCAUUGCGUUUUAGUAGACGAUCCAGUUCUGAGCGAACUGGGAAUACCUUUGGCAAAUAUCGACACCAGAACACUCUGUAAUUUUAUCCGCCGUCAUGAGAGACUCGUCAACCUGCGGUCGACUAAACCGCCAUCUGCUACCGUGCUGAAGACCACGUUAAUCUCUUCAAAAGAGCUUCCUCUAGCUGCAUGCCAGCCGUCCGUUCUCUCUCCACCUGACCUCCCACAGGUGAAGCUUGAACACAUUUCAAGCAAAGCAGGGACCGAGGUUUUAAAAGGAGGGACGGAGACUGCGAUGCAAGUUUUAAAGACUCUGCUGCCAUUACAACACAGUGAGUCUGUGCCAAUUCCCCACUUCCUACUGCCUACUGUCAGCAUAUCUCCUGCGACUGGAAGGAAAACGCCUGUCUCUUCCAUCAUCAUCAAACCUCUAGCUAAAAUCGCUUCAUCUGCCACACGAGCUACUUCCACCAACUCAGCACCAGUAUCACAGAGUAUUGCCAGCCGUUCAGCCUGGGCCAGGGCUACACUGUAUGAACGCAAACAUACAGGCAGUCUUACAGAUGUUGAAAUCAAGAAGUCAAGUGUACAAAAACUACCUGUUUGCACUCUGUGCAGCCAACCGACUCAGGGACACAAAAAAUACAGGAAGAAGACUUUUUUCCCUGUGAGAAUGAUGUCGACCUCAAAAGGACUUUGCAGCAGAGUCUACUCCAGUUACGAACAUUUUACCUCAGUCGUAGACUCACGCCAGAAAACGUAGUGUUCUUUUAAACUUUUACGUUAUUGUUUUUUAUUGAUUACUGCAUUUAUGUUCUUAUUUGAUUUGUUCCUUUUUUUGUAAUUAUAGUGAUCUGUUAUAGUGAUAUACAGUGAUAUAAAAAACUAUUUCUGUAAUAACAAACGACUGUGAUAUAUAUUUUUGCUAUAAUAAACAUUAUAAGUGGACGUCAGAGAACAGUACAAAAAAACAAAACAAAAAAACAAAGGCAGGUCAUGACCUCUUUAAAAAAAAGUAAUACAUUUAUAGUAAACUAUUUUAGAUGAUUCAAUGGAUUCUUUAAAGUAUGAUCUAAUGAAGAAAUUGUUUUACUAAAUUAUGAGAAAAUUAUAAAUAUACAAUGCAUGAAUAUUUUGGACCGUACACCACUUGAUGGUGCUAUACAACGAGUCUACUUCUGUGAAAUUAGUAUUUGGUUGGUGUCUUUUUCCAAAUUACUCAGACUUUGUAUAUUAAAGACACAUUUCUGCAUUUGAGUUUAAUAAAGAAGUCUUUUAUUUGGAGACGGGACUAGAUAUACAGAUGUCAAACGUUUAAA